rnacentral:rRNA from 1 species
UGUCCUCUAAAUAGGGACUUGUAUGAACGGCUAAAUGAGGGCCUACCUGUUUCCUAUGGCCCAUCAAUGAACCUAAUCUCUCAGUACAAAAGCUGAGAUAUACACAUAAGACGAGAAGACCCUGUGGAGCUUAAAGCAGUCUAAUACACCACAUAUUCUGACACUUUUAGUUGGGGCGACUAUGGAACAAAACAAAACUUCCACGCACCAGAACACCCUUCCCACGCAGGCACCCACGCCUCCGAGACCCUUCUUCCCCCUUGACCCAGUCUAACUGACCAUCGAACCAAGUUACCCCAGGGAUAACAGCGCCAUCCUCUUCAAGAGCUCCUAUCGCCAAGAGGGUUUACGACCUCGAUGUUGGAUCAGGGCCCCCCAGUGGUGCAGCCGCUACUAACGGUUCGUUUGUUCAACGAUUAAUGCCCUACGU